rnacentral:rRNA from 1 species
AUUGAACGCUGGCGGCAUGCCUUACACAUGCAAGUCGAACGGCAGCGGACCUUCGGGUGCCGGCGAGUGGCGAACGGGUGAGUAAUAUAUCGGAACGUACCUUUCAGUGGGGGAUAACGUAGCGAAAGUUACGCUAAUACCGCAUAUUCUGUGAGCAGGAAAGCAGGGGAUCGCAAGACCUUGCGCUGAUUGAGCGGCCGAUAUCAGAUUAGCCUAGUUGGUGAGGUAAAGGCUCACCCAGGCGACGAUCUGUAGCGGGUCUGAGAGGAUGAUCCGCCACACUGGAACUGAGACACGGUCCAGACUCCUACGGGAGGCAGCAGUGGGGAAUUUUGGACAAUGGGCGCAAGCCUGAUCCAGCCAUGCCGCGUGAGUGAAGAA